rnacentral:lncRNA from 1 species
UCCUGCUUUUUUUUUUUUUUUUUUUUUUUUUUUGCUAGGGCUGUGUCUUAUAUAGCACCUUCAGCUGCUACCUACAGCAGACGUGCUGUAGACUGUGUGUCCUGGCCCCUGGCAACCCCCAUCCUGCUUUUUUCUCUAUGAAUUGGACUCCUCUAGGGACCUAAUGUAAGUGGAAUCACAAUAUUUGUCUUUUUGUAACUGGCUUAUUUCACUUAGCAUAAUGUCUCCAAGGUUCACCCAUGUUGCAGCGUGGGUCUGAGUUUCCUUCCUUUUUGGGAUAGAAUACUAACUAUUCCACUGUAUGGAUAGAUCACAUUGGGUUUAUCCACUGAGCUAUCCAAGGACGCCUGAGUUGCUUUUGCCUUUUGGCUAUUGGGAAUAGUGCUGCUAUGAAUGUGAGUGUGCAUGUAUCUCUUUGAGACCCUGUUUUCAAUGCUUCUGUGUGUAUACCUACGAGUGGAAUUACUGGAUCAUAUGGAAA